GUUCUCGUUAGAUCACCGAAGUUAAGCAUCAUUGGGCGCGGUCAGUACUUGGGUGGGUGACCACCUGGGAACACUGCGUGCCGUU